UACGAAGGGGGCUAGCGUUGCUCGGAAUUACUGGGCGUAAAGAGCUCGUAGGCGGCCUGUUGCGUCCGCUGUGAAAGCCCGGGGCUUAACCCCGGGUCGGCAGUGGAUACGGGCAGGCUAGAGGUAGGUAGGGGAGAAUGGAAUUCCCGGUGUAGCGGUGAAAUGCGCAGAUAUCGGGAGGAACACCAGUGGCGAAGGCGGCGAUCUGGGAAGAUACUGACGCUGAGGUGCGAAAGCGUGGGGAGCAAACAGG
rnacentral:rRNA from 1 species